rnacentral:lncRNA from 1 species
UAAAUAUCCAAGUAUUCUCAAACUAUUAAAGGGCGUAUAUGGAACAUGCAUGCAAUUUCUAGAAUAUACAAAUCGGUCGGGAUAUUAUCCAUAUUACAUUUCAAUAAAAAUCCAUCGUAUACGUAUAGAAACAGGUGUGUCACGCAUAUCUGUUGUAGACUGUUCUUGCUGCAGGGAAGUUGUAAUAUCUGAUCAAAGAUGAGGAUUCUUUUAAUUAUUGUUGUGAUUUUUGCUUUCUUGGCUUUGAUUGAUGGUAAGGAUGAAACUUAAGAUAUAUGCACUUAUAAUUUAAAAGUACACUAGAUGUCUUAAAAUGCAUUGUAAAAAAAAACCAACGUAGUGCAUUUACUGGUUGCAUAAGGCAAAUGAAAAAAUGUUGGCCGUUCAAGUUCAAAUAUCUGCUUGAAUAUGUAAUAAAGUUUAAAAGAUGUUUAAAUUGCUUUAUCAGUCUUGUUUAGAAAUAUUUGGAUAUUAUACCUUAUAAUUUCUUUUCUGAAUUUGUAACAAGAAACUAGAUAAAAAGACAUUAAAUAAAGGCAACAGUAGUAUACCGCUGUUCAAAAGUCAUAUUAAAUCGAUUGAGAGAAAACAAAUCCAGGUUACAAGCUAAAUCCGAGGGAAACUAUAAAAGGCAAACAACGGAACAACAGAAACACUGUAGUACAACAAAAACAAACGACAAUGCAACACACACAGAAAUGAACUAUGGGAUAACAAUUGACGUGUUCCAGUCUUGGAACAGGACAUUUUAAGAAACAUCGGUGGGUUGCCCCUGGUUUUGGAUUAUUCUCAUUAUACAAGUACAAAAUAAGAUAAGCUAGAUUUAGAAAGCAUUUUUCACGUGAGCACAAACCCGUCGAUUUGCCUAUCUAAACUCCGUCAUUAAACUUAAGACACACAAUAAAGCAUUAGAAAAAAAAAUCGGGUUAGUAUCCAAUUUUAAUUGCAAUAAUCCAAGAACUACAACGUAGGUUGAAUGCUCUGUCUUUAUGCAAUCUGAUAACACCUGUUGUGUAUAAUUGUGUAUAAUCAAUUGAAUUGAUAUUUUUUACUAAUCAUUGUAGUUCUUUUCUUUUCAUUUUAUUCUGUUUCAGCUCAGGCAAAAGUGAAGGCUAAAAGUAAGUAUAUAUGUCUUAUGUUGCACACAAAUAUAGUAUAACAUCAUUACGAUAGAACACACCAACGAAAAAGGAUCUUGCAGGCCAGUAUUCAUUUACAUAUGCAACAAAUCUUGUAUUUGUCAAAUCAUAAAAUGGCCAAUUCCUAAUUUCAAAAUAUGUUAUACUCGCUGCAUUGCAGACCUGUUGGUGAGUGACCUUCUGCUGUUGUCUGUUCUAUGGUCGGGUUGUUGUCUCUUUGACACAUUCCCCAUUUCCAAUCUCAAUGUUAUAGAUCUUACAAGCCGGAUUUUCAUCAUGGGACGACCAUUUCUAUAUCUGGGUUUGGGGGGCGGGAUUUUUUUUUUUUGGAUUGACUAUUCAUUCUGAACUAUUUCUGCGUAUGCUUACCCUUUUGUACACUAUUGAUUCCCGUAUAUCGAAAGGUCAUCGCUAAACAACAAGAAUUUUUUAGUGUGUCAAGAUAUUGUAUUAAAAAAAAAUACUGAUUAUCAUUAGAAAUAUAUCAAACAAAGUUACUAAGCAAUUACAUGUAUUUUUUUUUUAUUUCAGCAUGCAUUACCAAAUGUACAAAGAACAUGCUUGGCUACUUCCAGUCAUGCGAUUCUUGUGAAGCCUACGUCACCUGUGUUUUCAGAGUAAAAUAUGAUCGGAAAUGUCCAGGGACACUUAAGUGGAACGACAAAACCAAGGAAUGCGACUUCAUAACACCAACCUGCGAAAAGAUUUGAUUGACAUUUACAAUAAAGCAAAAUUCUUUGAAAGCAUUUAUCUCUUAUUUUUAUUUACAUCCAAAUGCAGGUUUUCGGUUGUUGUGUGG